UUUGUACAGCGGGGCUGAACAAGGUGUGUCAAAGGUCGUUAGGGACGCGUAUAAGAAUUACGAAGAUAUGGAAUUUAAAAUUGAACGUGACGGGAAACAAAUUAACGACGUAAACCGGCAUGUCAAACUCAUCUGUGUGCCUAAAAACAAGUCAAACAGUUCGUCGAGAAAUCCUAAAAGUACCAAGGUGGAGAAAUGCCAGUUCCCGUUGCUGUUGUUGUUUGUGAGGGGGAUAUUGAGACAGUUGUACACAUUUCAAAGGCCCUAGAAAGUAAACUUCCAGUGAUUAUCAUGAAGGGAUCGGGAGCGGCGGCCGACAUUGUUGUGGACUACCUAGAAAAUGAAGACCUACUUCCAAAACAUGCCAGUAUUUUGUUGGGCAUUCAAUUUGAUGAUACAAGAUACCAGGUCUUAAAAACACAUUUAAAAAAAAUUUCUUCAGCAAAAAACUUGGCAAGUUAGCAAAAUGUUUUAGCAUAUAAAAAGCAACAUAAAAAAUAUGAUUAAAAUUAUUAGACAUAAAUGUAUCUAGCCAAAUAUAUAUUUUUGGUCACUUCAAGAUCUAAUAGUAUAUUUAAUGGGCAUAUGUAUUAGAUUUAAUGAAACUUUAACUCAUUCCUCUUAAUUAGCUAUUGACUCCUAUGAUAACUCUUGCUCAAUAUUUAAAAAGUACUAUUUCUUAAAACGUCCUUUUAAUUGCAUUUAAAAAUCGGACGUUAAGGCUAUGUUACUUAAUCAACUAUUGAGAAAGAAAAAAAGUUUGAACAAGCCCUAAACAAAUGUAUUUAUGUAUUUCUUAAGA